rnacentral:lncRNA from 1 species
AGAACCUUGAUUUUAGACCUGCCGCUCUAUCCCUCUAUGCCAGGUAUUUCACACGCAAAACGGAAUGGUGGCUGCCACCUGCCUAUCCUGUAUCCGAGGUUAGGUGCCCUGGAAAAUGAAAUAAGAGCGAUGUAAAUACUGUGUUCAAAGAGCUAUACACAACCAUGAAGUGGCCCGGAAGCUGGGUAUGGGCUUCAGAUGCGCAUGCAGAGGCUGGGCUCACCAGGAUCUCCAUCAAUAUCAAUGGUGUAAGACCACAUUAUUCAUGGCUGCUGCUGAAAUGAGCACACUACCACAUCUUCCUAUGAAAGACCAUGUGAUGAUCUGGCAGGAAGUUGCAAAGGCCGUCUUCAGAGAAUGCGGUUCUGAGAAUACUAAUAAUAAUGAUAGACUUGAAAGGAAAAGUAAAAAUAAAAGCUCCACACGUUCUAAUUUAUGGCAGUGCUCACUUCUUUGCCCACAGCAGGACAUCCGGCUUUCUCCUGUGCAGCAACUUCACAAAUUUAAAGAGCUUGAGAAAGGACUGACUUAUGUCAUCAACAUCAGAGCUCGAGGGUACAGCCCUGAAAACGUGAGGGUUAGUAAUUUAAAGACCUCUUCAGACAGUCAGGUAGUAGACAGAUGGGCAGACACAUAUGCACAUGCAUGCACACGCCUUUACACUGUAGCAACAUCUCAAUUCUCAUUCUUUUAGGUAGAGCUAGUAUUUAAAAAUAUUAUAAUGAACAUAGACUCUCCAAGUCACCUACCUUCACAGUCUUCUUGCCUUUUGUCA